rnacentral:rRNA from 1 species
UACAGAGGGGGCACGCGUUGUUCGGAAUUACUGGGCGUAAAGCGCACGUAGGCGGAUCGAUCAGUCAGGGGUGAAAUCCCAGAGCUCAACUCUGGAACUGCCUUUGAUACUGUCGAUCUGGAGUAUGGAAGAGGUGAGUGGAAUUCCGAGUGUAGAGGUGAAAUUCGUAGAUAUUCGGAGGAACACCAGUGGCGAAGGCGGCUCACUGGUCCAUUACUGACGCUGAGGUGCGAAAGCGUGGGGAGCAAACAGG